rnacentral:rRNA from 1 species
AUUAUGGCUCAGGAUGAACGCUAGCUACAGGCUUAACACAUGCAAGUCGAGGGGCAGCAUUGGGAUAGCUUGCUAUUCAGAUGGCGACCGGCGCACGGGUGAGUAACGCGUAUCCAACCUUCCUGCCAGUAGGGAACAGCCCGGCGAAAGUCGGAUUAAUGCCCUAUGUUCUUCAAUGCGGACAUCUAAGUUGAAGGAAAGAUUCAUCGCUGGCAGAUGGGGAUGCGUCCGAUUAGCUUGCCGGCGGGUAACGGCCCACCGGGGCGACGAUCGGUAGGGGUUCUGAGAGGAAGGUCCCCCACACUGGUACUGAGACACGGACCAGACUCCUACGGGAGGCAGCAGUGAGGAAUAUUGGUCAAUGGGCGUAAGCCUGAACCAGCCAAGUAGCGUGCAGGGAAUGACGGCCCUACGGGUUGUAAACUGCUUUUAUGCGGGGAUAAAGUGCGGCACGUGUGCCGCUUUGCAGGUACCGCAUGAAUAAGGACCGGCUAAUUCCGUGCCAGCAGCAGC